AAAGGUUUUUCGCUUGAGGAUGAGCCCAUGUGGGAUUAGCUAGUUGGUGGGGUAAUGGCUCACCAAGGCGACGAUCCCUAGCUGGUCUGAGAGGAUGAUC
rnacentral:rRNA from 1 species